GAUGAACGCUAGCGGCAGGCCUAACACAUGCAAGUCGAGGGGUAGAACACUUCGGUGUUUGAGACCGGCGCACGGGUGCGUAACGCGUAUGCAAUCUACCUUGUACAGAGGGAUAGCCCAGAGAAAUUUGGAUUAAUACCUCAUAGUAUUAUUGAGUGGCAUCACUUGAUUAUUAAAGUUCCCACGGUACAAUAUGAGCAUGCGUCCUAUUAGCUAGAUGGUAAGGUAACGGCUUACCAUGGCUACGAUAGGUAGGGGUCCUGAGAGGGAGAGCCCCCACACUGGUACUGAGACACGGACCAGACUCCUACGGGAGGCAGCAGUGAGGAAUAUUGGUCAAUGGGCGCAAGCCUGAACCAGCCAUGCCGCGUGCAGGAAGACGGUCCUAUGGAUUGUAAACUGCUUUUGUACGGGAAGAAACACUCCGACGUGUCGGAGCUUGACGGUACCGUAAGAAUAAGGAUCGGCUAACUCCGUGCCAGCAGCCGCAGUAAAAC
rnacentral:rRNA from 1 species